rnacentral:rRNA from 1 species
UACAGAGGUCUCGAGCGUUAGGCGGAAUCACUGGGCUUAAAGCGUGUGUAGGCGGAUCGUUAAGUACCUUGUGAAAUCCCACGGCUUAACCGUGGAACUGCUUGGUAUACUGGCGGUCUUGAGCCAGCUAGGGGCUACCGGAACAAAUGGUGGAGCGGUGAAAUGCGUAGAUAUCAUUUGGAACGCCAAUGGUGAAAACAGGUAGCUGGGGCUGUGCUGACG